UACGUAGGUGGCAAGCGUUGUCCGGAUUUACUGGGCGUAAAGCGUGCGCAGGCGGUCUGUUAAGACCGAUGUGAAAUCCCCGGGCUUAACCUGGGAACUGCAUUGGUGACUGGCAGGCUUUGAGUGUGGCAGAGGGAGGUAGAAUUCCACGUGUAGCAGUGAAAUGCGUAGAGAUGUGGAGGAAUACCGAUGGCGAAGGCAGCCUCCUGGGCCAACACUGACGCUCAUGCACGAAAGCGUGGGGAGCAAACAGG
rnacentral:rRNA from 1 species